rnacentral:rRNA from 1 species
GGCGACUGAAACGGGACCUAGCCCAGCGCAUAACCUCGCGGUUCGGACAGAGCUGACGAGGGGUGUUGCGUAUCGGUGGAUCCGUCCCGCUCGUGCUCUACCGCCUAAGUCCAAGUAGGAAUACAGCCCCAGGGAGGGUGAGAGGCCCGUGUGGCGGCGCCCGCAAGGGCUACUAGAGCGCGGGCGGAGGGGUCGCUUCACCGGAGAGUCGGGUUGCUUAAUACUGCAGCCCUAAGACAGGUGGUAAACUCCAUCUAAGGCUAAAUACAACCACGAGUCCGAUAGGAGACAAGUACCGUGAGGGAAAGUUGAAAAGGACUUUGAAGAGAGAGUUCAAGAGUACGUGAAGCCGUUAGAAGCUUAAACGGGUGGAACCGCGAAGGUCGAACGAGGGCACUCACCUCGUCGGGCGGGCGGGACCCGGGGUGCUCUGACAGGCCGGCGCCGAUGUCCAAAGUGUGAGCGCAGGAGCGCCCUGUCUGUCGCGUCCCGUUCCGGCGGGCGUACUUGUCCCUCCAGUAGGGAACGCCGCGAGCCGUGGCGGGGACCAGAAGGCCCACGUAGCCCGGAUUGGUACCCUCGGUCCGGA